GAGUGUCUGGGCACCGCCCUCCUUCCAUUCUGGCACGCACGGCCUCUGUCCUGAGGUCUUCCCUCCGCGGCACGUGCAUUCUGGGAGGCGGUGGUGGCUCCUCUUGGCAGUUCUCCUGAGACACGCGUCCCUGAUCCACCGGCUUGCCCAGCUCCCUGGCCCGUUCUUCCUUGACACCAUCCCCUCCCCUUCCCACACCUCCCACUCAGUUCCAGACCCUGGCAGUAACUCCGGCCGCCUCGUCUCUUCCAGGGAACUGAAGUACGUGAUUCAGAGGUUCGCCGAAGACCCCAGGCAAGAGGUCCACUCGUGCCUGCUGAGCGUGCGGGCCGGCAAAGACGGCUGGUUCCAGCUCUACAGCCCCGGAGGGGUGGCCUGCGACGAUGACGGGGAGCUGUUCGCCAGCAUGGUAUGCAGUGGGACCCCAGUGGGGCGAUUUCCAGGGGGCCCUGGGCUUGCCAUGCCUGACUAGUAAAACAGCCGUCCCCCAUCUCCUGGGGCCAGCCCCGGAGUUUCCAGGCCAACACAAUGCUGAUCAUGAAGGUGGUGGUGGUGGUGGUGGUGGUGGUGGUGGUGGUGGUGGUGACCGUGACUGUCACUUACUCAUUUCUUAUCUGAGGCUCCAAGCCAAGCACUUGGCAUUCCCAGUUGCACUCAGUCUCUCACAGCACAGUGAGAAGAGGACACAUGUCAUUGCCCCAUUUUAUACCCAAGGCAGCUAAAGCCUGGGCCGUUACUGCCUAAGGUCACACAGUUCAUUGUCAUGGUUAUGUUCCUACAAGGAAUUGAGUGCCCAACGGGACUAGGGAUUCUGGAAGGCACUGCAGCUCCACCAGCUUGUUUAAUCCUUACAAGGAGGUGUCACAGUCAGGGUGAUUGUUCCCACUAUCAUGAGGGGUCUGAGGUCAGCAAACCAAUAGCUGCAUCCAUGAUAACUUUCUUUGUGCCCAGCACUGUAUCCAGCACUUCAUAUGCACUAUCUUUUUUAAUCUGUACUGCAUCCUUGUUGCUGAAUUACACCUCUGUUGAAACAGAGGCCCACAGAGGUUCGGUGGCAUGCCUGGGGUCCCACAGGCCUUCUGUUUCCAAGCCCUUCCUUGGCCAGGCCCACCUGCCUUCUUCCAGGAGUAAAGGGCCACAGACUCUUCCUCCCCCAGGGCAGAUGCUGCACCCUAGUGGCCGGCAGCCUCACCGACUCCACUUGCUGAGAAAACCCGCUCCAUUUGCUGGUCACUGGUGCUCCCACACUCAAACUGGGCUUCCAGUCGCAGCUCUGCUGGGAGCUAGCUUGUUGACCUUGGGCUGGUAACUUGCCUCUGCCAGCUUCAGUCCCUCGUCCGGGAGCGUCGCAUUGGCCUCUCGAGGUUACCGUAGCGAUUGCACGCGACAGCAGAUGCACGGCGCCCGGCAGGCCAGCACAGUCACUUCUCGGAAAUGACGCCGGUGGUGAUUCUCCUCUCUGCUGGGUGGCUGGUUUGGCUCUCCACACUGAACUCAGCAGAGAUGUUUGUGCAGCGAUGACAAAUUGAGGCGCUGCCCCUGGAAGCUUCUUGAAAAGGGCUUAUUUUUAGGACCUUUGCCUCAUGCACUCCCUCUCCACUCCUC
rnacentral:sRNA from 1 species